rnacentral:rRNA from 1 species
GACGAACGCUGGCGGCGUGCCUAAUACAUGCAAGUAGAACGCACAGUUUAUACCGUAGCUUGCUACACCAUAGACUGUGAGUUGCGAACGGGUGAGUAACGCGUAGGUAACCUGCCUGGUAGCGGGGGAUAACUAUUGGAAACGCUAGCUAAUACCGCAUAAUAUUAAUUAUUGCAUGAUAAUUAAUUGAAAGGUGCAAUUGCACCACUACCAGAUGGACCUGCGUUGUAUUAGCUAGUAGGUGAGGUAACGGCUCACCUAGGCGACGAUACAUAGCCGACCUGAGAGGGUGAUCGGCCACACUGGGACUGAGACACGGCCCAGACGCCUACGGGAGGCAGCAGUAGGGAAUCUUCGGCAAGGGACGAAAGUCUGACCGAGCAACGCCGCGUGAGUGAAGAAGGUUUUCGGAUCGUAAAGCUCUGUUGUAAGAGAAGAACGGGUGUGAGAGUGGAAAGUUCACACUGUGACGGUAUCUUACCAGAAAGGGACGGCUAACUACGUG